UUUCAAUUUUCCCCUAAUUUAGUUUCAGUUCUCUUCGAAUUCCCAAUUCCAUGGUUGUUAUCCUUUUUAUUAAUAUUUUUUCAUUCACAUGCUUUUAUUUUUCUGCAAAAAUAUAUUUCAUCUAUAUUCUAAAUACAAAAAGAUUCAUCAGUAUUCUCAGUUCUCUUCAUCGAUUAUCCAUUUCGUGGUUGUUUUCAAGUUUGCUCAAUAUUUUCUGACUAUUGAGAGAAGGAAAGACCAAAAUAAACUUAAGUUGUCGGUUCAAGAAGUUUAUGAAGUUGGUCAAAUUUUUAGUUACAAUAUAAUUAACUUUUCAAAUUGUAAAUUAUUUGUGAAUAAUGAAGAAGCAUUUAUACACUUUAAAGUCAUAUUUAUUUUUCAUGUUCCCUCCAAAUGGAAUAAAAACUUGGAAUGGUACUAAUUUCAUUUGGCUUAGCCCUAUUUUUCUUGCAAUUGAUUCUUUCGGUAACACUUGAAGCUCUUAAAAUGGAAAAAAUUGUGGUCUUUUGCUAGGAUUUGAUAGAACAUUUUUCGAAUUCCAGUUUUAAAUAUUAUAAGCAAACAAAAAUACAUAUAAACAAUAAGAUGGUAAUACCUUACAUUUCUUUUUAAUAUUGUUUUCUUCUUCUUUUUACUUACAUUUGCUACAUUUAGCCGGCGGAUUUUUCGGAAAUAAUCUCUCUACCCCAUGAGACAAUGGUAAGGUUUGUAUACACUCUAGCCUUUAGACAUCGGUAAGGUUUGUAUACACUCUAGCCUUUAGACAUCACUUGUGGGAUUUCACUAGAUAUGUUAUUGUUGUGCCUUUUUUACGCUUUCAAAAUUUAUCGGACUUGUCAUGCUUCCCUAUAGAUUGUUAUGGUUUUUCUUUUUGGGUGUUUAAUCUAAUAUCGUGGACUUCUCAAACUUUUCACAAUAUAUUAAUGGUGGUUCAAUUUUUUUCUUUUUUGUCACAACUUCAUGUGCUAUGUUGCUUCAUCUAUUAUAGACAGCUGCCUUUGUGUUUUAUUUCGUUUGCACUUAGUCUGUAUUGCUAAUUUGAUGAUCCAAUUCAGACCAUUUAUAUGCAAUACCAAAAGCAUUGAAAUUUGUUUAAGGAUACAUUACUAUUAAAGGUAUACAUUAAUAGUUUCAUAAAAAUAUUUCAUGGUUUAUUGAGAGAGCACUUACCAUAUUAUUAUCGCUGAAAGAACUGAUAACAAAAUCAUCAAGACUAUGCGACGUCUGUUAUUAAUAUAGCAUCUGGUGCUCCUCUUUUAUUAGUGCAGGGUAAAUAAAUAUUAAUACUUUUGUGUAUUUUGAGAAGUAACUGAAAGAGUUUCUAUUUCAGAUGCAAACUUUACUAAUUCAAAUUGUUUUGGUAUGAUACAGACUAAUUUAUGUUUGGUCCGAAAUAUUAGGUGCAUCAUUCUUGAUUGGAAGUGUAAUGUGAAAGUAAGCAUAAACUAAGUUAUGUGUUCUAUUCUUUCAACAGGAGAUGGAGGUAAUCGAGAUGAAAAAGAUAAGAGUAUGGUGAAUUUCUAGCAGUAAAGGUGAAAAUAUCGGAGAAUGGCUAGAAAAACAUUUCUAGAAAAGCAUGAGAAGGACGACCAAGGAACCAGGAUUUUGGGGAAAUUUUCUUGGAGUUGAAGGAAAGAACCAUGAAGCUACAUAACAUAGUUAAAAAGGCGCUAAAUCCAUUGUACCUUAACACCGUUCACAUACAAGCCGAUCAAUGACUACAGGAUUUUCAAUGCACUAUUGAUGCUUGGCAGGUUUCACAAUUUUUAUCUAAUUAUUUUAGUUAGGUCUCUCUAAAUUUAAUUAAUAGGAACAAUUGUUAAGAGAAAUGAGAUAUAGAUAUCAAUUUUGAGUAUGCCAUUACCGUGCUCAUUAAUAAUUUUGAUUUA